rnacentral:rRNA from 1 species
AUUGAACGCUGGCGGCAGGCCUAACACAUGCAAGUCGGGCGGUAACACAGGGAGCUUGCUCCUGGGUGACGAGCGGCGGACGGGUGAGUAAUGUCUGGGAAACUGCCUGAUGGAGGGGGAUAACUACUGGAAACGGUAGCUAAUACCGCAUAACGUCGCAAGACCAAAGAGGGGGACCUUCGGGCCUCUUGCCAUCAGAUGUGCCCAGAUGGGAUUAGCCAGUAGGUGGGGUAAUGGCUUACCUAGGCGACAAUCCCUAGCUGGUCUGAGAGGAUGACCGGCCACACUGGAACUGAGGCACGGUCCAGACUCCUACGGGAGGCAGCAGUGGGGAAUAUUGCACAAUGGGCGCAAGCCUGAUGCAGCCAUGCCGCGUGUAUGAAGAAGGCCUUCGGGUUGUAAAGUACUUUCAGCGAGGAGGAAGGCAUUAAGGUUAAUAACCUUGGUGAUUGACGUUACUCGCAGAAGAAGCACCGGCUAACUCCGUGCCAGCCGCCGCGGUAACAC